rnacentral:ncRNA from 1 species
UCUUAUGAAGAGCAACGGAGGGACUGGCCCUGUGAAGUUGCGGCAACCUUCAAUUCUGAAUUGAAAGGUGCUAAAUCCUGCAAAGCACACCGCUUUGAGAAAUGAGA